AGUCUCCAUUCCCCAGCGGCCGAGUGAUGUGCCGGGAAUUGGGAGCCCAGUCUCCAUUCCCCAGCGGGAGAUACAGCAGGGAAUUGGGAGCCCAGUCUCCAUUCCCCAGCGGCAGAGUGUCCUACCGGGAAUAGAGAGCCCAGUCUCCUUUCCCCAGCAGCAGGAAACUGUAUUGGGAGCGGAGACAGUCGGUCUCCCUCCACAGAGGAUGAAAGUAUGUAUGGGAGAGGAGCUUACUACCACCUCUCCCCAGCGGCGGAUCAUUAAUGGGCAG